rnacentral:rRNA from 1 species
UAGUCCUAGCCGUAAACGAUGGGCACUAAGUAGGGGGCUCCCAAGGCCUCCCUGCCGGAGCUAAUGUGUUAAGUGCCCCGCCUGGGGAGUAUGGUCGCAAGGCUAAAACUCAAAGGAAUUGACGGGGGCUCACACAAGCGGUGGAGCAUGUUGUUUAAUUCGAUGCAACGCGAAGAACCUUACCUGGGCUUGACAUGCAGGUGGUACCAAACCGAAAGGGGCGGGACCCUCUUUGAGGGAGCUUGCACAGGUAUUGCAUGGCUGUCGUCAGCUCGUGUCGUAAGAUGUCUGGUUAAGUCCAAUAACGAGCGCAGCCCUUAUCCUUAGUUACCAGCAUUAAGUUGGGGACUCUAGGGAGACUGCCGGUGUUAAACCGGAGGAAGGCGGGGAUGACGUCAAGUCCUCAUGGCCCUUACGGGUAGGGCUACACACGUACUACAAUGGCAGAUACAAACCGUUUGACAAAGCCGCGAGGUUGAGCUAAUCGGUAAAACACGUGUCCCAGUCCCGGAUUGGAGUCUGCAACUCGACUCC